UAAAGGAGUAAGUUCGGUAAGUGCCAUAUUUGGCCCCAAUUAUAAAGUUCAUGGUUACAAGACAAUAAUUGUUUUAAGUUGCCUUAAAGACAUGUGCAAAAGUUAAACAGAGCUGUUUUUGUCAAAGUUUAAUUCUAACACAACGAUUUUUACAUUCCAAAACGGUCAAGAUAAGGGAUUUUGGUGAAAUUUGACAAAAUCAGCGGGAUUUCAACCAAAUAAAGGACCAGGAAACAUAGAGCGCAGGCGUCGACAAGCUUAAUAUUCAAAUAAGACAUGUUAAAUGUCUUCACAAACAUUAUUUUAAAAGAUCUUUGUUGUCGACGUAUGCGCUCUAUGUUUCCUGUCAAAUAAUCUUUGGAAAUUUACCCAUUUUCAUUGAUUUUUUCGUGAAAAAUCAAUAUGAGUACAACUUGUGACGUCAUAAUGAAACGCAGAAACGUAAAAUUUUAAACAAAAUGGCUUAUAUCCUAUCUAGUCAAUGUAUUAGCUAUAAUUCAUCGUGAUAUUGGUCAAUAAAUCCGAAUUUGAAAUUUACGCUAAAAAAGUGGGCCAUUUUAGGACCUUAUCGAACAUACUCCUUUAACCUGAGGU
rnacentral:lncRNA from 1 species